rnacentral:rRNA from 1 species
CCUAACACAUGCAAGUCGAACGGAAAGGCCCUUCGGGGUACUCGAGUGGCGAACGGGUGAGUAACACGUGGGUGAUCUGCCCUGCACUCUGGGAUAAGCCUGGGAAACUGGGUCUAAUACCGGAUAGGACCACACACUUCAUGGUGAGUGGUGCAAAGCUUUUGCGGUGUGGGAUGAGCCCGCGGCCUAUCAGCUUGUUGGUGGGGUAAUGGCCCACCAAGGCGACGACGGGUAGCCGGCCUGAGAGGGUGACCGGCCACACUGGGACUGAGAUACGGUCCAGACUCCUACGGGAGGCAGCAGUGGGGAAUAUUGCACAAUGGGCGCAAGCCUGAUGCAGCGACGCCGCGUGAGGGAUGACGGCCUUCGGGUUGUAAACCUCUUUCAGUAGGGACGAAGCGAAAGUGACGGUACCUACAGAAGAAGGACCGGCCAACUACGUGCCAGCAGCCGCGGUAAUACGUAGGGUCCGAGCGUUGUCCGGAAUUACUGGGCGUAAAGAGCUCGUACGUGGUUUGUCGCGUUGUUCGUGAAAACUCACAGCUUAACUGUGGGCGUGCGGGCGAUACGGGCAGACUAGAGUACUGCAGGGGAGACUGGAAUUCCUGGUGUAGCGGUGGAAUGCGCAGAUAUCAGGAGGAACACCGGUGGCGAAGGCGGGUCUCUGGCCAGUAACUGACGCUGAGGAGCGAAAGCGUGGGUAGCGAACAGGAUUAGAUACCCUGGUAGUCCACCCCGUAAACGGUGGGUACUAGGUGUGG